UCGAGGUUCGGAGGACGCUGCGCGUGCACCGUUCAACCUGGAUGAGGCCAAGCGGGCGCUAGCGUACAAUGCAGGCGCGCGGGGCGAUAUCGGGCACAGGGGGAAAUGGGCAAAAGUGGGAGGCUGGUAGGAGACGACUGGGGGCUGCGUGUGAGGUGUGCGGGCGCGCUCUUCACACGCUUCCUAUUGGGCCCUUAUUGUGUUCUAUAGUUUGCUGACCAACGGUGUUUUGCGUUACUGCAAGUGCUAACCGGCGUUUGGGUUAUUGGAGGGUCCAGCACUACACUACACCUCUCUAUCUCGGUAACGCAACCGACGUGUAACACCACACACACACACACACACACAUUCUGCGCUACCGGUGAUCCGGCC
rnacentral:lncRNA from 1 species